rnacentral:rRNA from 1 species
UGGAAGCGUCUGGAAAGGCGCGCGAUACAGGGUGACAGCCCCGUACACAAAAAUACACAUAUUGUGAGCUCGAUGAGUAGGGCGGGACACGUGGUAUCCUGUCUGAAUAUGGGGGGACCAUCCUCCAAGGCUAAAUACUCCUGACUGACCGAUAGUGAACCAGUACCGUGAGGGAAAGGCGAAAAGAACCCCGGCGAGGGGAGUGAAAAAGAACCUGAAACCGUGUACGUACAAGCAGUGGGAGCACGCUUAGGCGUGUGACUGCGUACCUUUUGUAUAAUGGGUCAGCGACUUAUAUUCUGUAGCAAGGUUAACCGAAUAGGGGAGCCGAAGGGAAACCGAGUCUUAACUGGGCGUUAAGUUGCAGGGUAUAGACCCGAAACCCGGUGAUCUAGCCAUGGGCAGGUUGAAGGUUGGGUAACACUAACUGGAGGACCGAACCGACUAAUGUUGAAAAAUUAGCGGAUGACUUGUGGCUGGGGGUGAAAGGCCAAUCAAACCGGGAGAUAGCUGGUUCUCCCCGAAAGCUAUUUAGGUAGCGCCUCGUGAAUUCAUCUCCGGGGGUAGAGCACUGUUUCGGCAAGGG